GCGCGCGGGGAAGGCAGUGAAUGUCUGUUCGUCGAGCCAUGACGACGGCGAGCGCGCGAGAAGACAGGGAGAGGGAGAGGGACAGAGAAAGCGCCAACACCCCCAUGCAUUCGGAUCUCUUCUCCCAUGACUGACGUCGCCGCCACACCCCACAACCAACCGUCACCACAGAACGACUGGAAUUUGGGAGCUGUGUGUGAUUAAGCAAAACAAGGUUACUGGACAAAUAUGCGUAACUCAACAUUGGAAAAAUAGAAGCGCGCACACACAGAAAUAGUAGAGAUCGAGAGAGAGAGAGACGAUGGCAGGGCAACUCGACGCUUACACGAACAGUGCUCAAAUGAAACAAAAGCAGUACGUGUACGCGCGUACUCAAAUUACACACAACGACGACCCACAGAGAUAGAGAUGGAUGGGCAUGAAUGAUUAUGCGCCGGUGAGCUCCUCCUCCUUGUGCGUCUCGAUGACGACGUCAGAGGUGGGGUAGGCGUGGCAGGUGAGCACCCAGCCGGCGGCGAUCUGGCCGUCGUCGAGGUAGCUCUGGUCGGACUGGUCCACGGAGCCGGAGACGACCUUGCCGGCGCAGGAGGAGCAGGACCCCGCGCGGCAGGAGUAGGGCAGGUCGAUGCCGUCCUCCUCGGCCUGGUCCAGGAUGUACACGUCGUCGGGCACCUGCAGCUCCACCUCCCCCUCCGGCGUGAUCAGCUUCACGUUGUAGGUGGCCUGCGCGCGCAGCCUGCCCCUGCUGCUGGCGCUACGGCCCAUGAUGCCCACCUUGGCCGCAGGCAGCGCCACGGCGGUGGGCGCCGGCGCGGCACGGAGGGAGGACGGCGAGAAGAAGAAGGCCGGCGCGCGGGGGCUGCCUAGGACGGUGGCCAUUGUUGUCGAGGGGUCGGGGUACGGUGGUGUGGCGGCCGGUGCAGUUAGGGAGCUCUAGAUGGAGAGAGUGGGGCUGGGGAGAGCGGCUGCUGGAUAGAUGGCCAAUAGAUAGCUUCUCCUGCCCUCCCCUGCCCUGCCCCAGAUGACAAUACCAAUGCAAGGGAUGGAUAGGCUUAUCUUCUUGCAUUGCCGCCCCAAUUUUGGCCACCCGUUUUUAUCGCCCUUCAAACUCACGGGAAUUUUGCAUGCUGCGGAAAUUCAAAUUCACAUUAUUCAUGUGUAAUGUCGAUAUUCGCAUAUAAAAUAAUUCAUGGUAACUGAUUAUUGUGCGCGUGUGUAGGCCACGAGUCCCUUCAGGUCGUGGGACACGUGGGGUCAUGUGGCGCACGAACGAACUUUAUAGUUCGGUGUAACUUAUCAUUGUUUCUUUAGUUUUUUUUACUUAAAUUUAGUUCCGGCGGUUCCUGUUGAAUUUUUGAGGAGUUCCUCCCUUUUCGAGAAAGAGCCCAUAAAAAACCUCCCUUUUGGUAGUUUUUUCAAGGAGUUGUUGAAUGAGCCCUACCAGAGGAGGCCUUAGUCGCAUAAUCUUGGACAAGUUGUGAUAGAGUUAGAUGAGAACCAAAUAGAUCCACAGUCUCCUCAUUGCGACGGGGAGGCAGAGACAGGUGGUCCGAGGAACAAGUGUCAUCGACGUCGAAGUGGGCGACAAGCACUGGUGGUGGUGUAGUCGUGUAGAAGGGCGACAAUGGUGGAGUAGGGCAUUAGCAUUGAGAAGAGAUAAGGUUUUUAGUGUCAAUGAUGGCAUGUGAGGCCCACAUGUUUGAUUUUAAACAUUGUUUUUUUACUGUCAAUGGGGGAGAGAAGUUCUUCCCCAUCUAAGAUUUAUAUAUAUUACUUCUGUCUGAGAGAAACACAUGAGAUUACAUUAGUACGUGAAGUUCAUCAAAGUAUCCGAAGGGACCAGCCAGUGGAUAACAUUCUUGGUAGCAUAAGGACACGGGUAACAACUCGAUCUCGCUUAACAAUUUUUUGUGAAUCUUACUUGUUUGUUUCCUCUCUUGAGCCACUUAGGGUAGAAGAAGCACUGGGUGAUCUAGAGUGGAUAGUAGCAAUGCAAGAGUAAUUCAAUAACUUCACCCGGAAUGAAGUUUAGCCCUUUGUGGAAAGACCCAAGCAAAAUGUCAUUGGAACUAAGUGUGUUUUCCGCAACAUGCAAGAUGAACAUGGCUUGGUCACAAGAAACAAGGCGUGGUUGGUUGCUCAAGGCUUCACUCAAGUAGAAGGGCUUGAUUUUGGAGAGACAUAUGCACCAGUGGCAAUGUUAGAGUCAAUUAAAAUUUUGAUUGCUUAUGCAACUAACCAUGAUUUCAAGCUAUAUUAAAUGGACGACAAGAGUGCAUUUCUAAAUGGACCACUACAAGAGUUGGUCUAUGUGAAGCAACCAUCGGACUUUGAAGAUCAAAUAAGCCUAACCAUGUAUUUCUCCUCCAUAAGGUGCUCUAUGGGCUUAAGCAAUCUCCUAGAGCAUAGUAUAAAUGCCUUAAGGAGUUAUUGAUUAAAAAUGGCUUUCAAAUAGGCAAAGCCGACUCUACUCUAUUUACUCGCAAGUUUGAUAAUGAACUAUUUGUGUGCCAAAUAUAUGUCGAUAACAUUAUACUUGGCAGUACUAAUGAUGAGUUUUGUGGGGAAUUUAGCAGGGUAAUGAUGAAUAUGUUUGAGAUGUCUAUGAUGGGUGAGUUAAAGUUCUUCUGAGGAUUCCAAGUAAAACAAUUAAAGAAAGAGACUUUUCUAUGCCAAACCAAGUAUAUUUGGUUCAUACACCUAACCUAGGCCUUUGGUAUCCUAAAGACUCCACUUUCAAUUUGCUUCGCUACUCUGACUCAGAUUACAUCAGUUGUAAAGUAGAUAAAAAGUACCAUCGAGACUUGCCAAUUCGUUGGGCGGUCCUUAGUGUCGUGGAGUUCCAAGAAACAAAAUUGUGUUGCACUUUCCACUGCCGAGGCUGAGUAUAUAGCAGCUGAUGUUUGUUGCGCCCAAUUUUUAUGGAUGAAGCAAACCUUGAGGGAUUUUGGUUGUGAGUUUAGCAAAAUUCCGCUACUUUGUGUUAAUGAGAGUGCCAUAAAACUUUCAAACAAUCACGUGCAACACUUUAGAACUAAACACAUUGACAUUAGACAUCACUUCUUAAGAUACCAUGAGGACAAAGGAGAUAUCAAAAUAUGGCAUGUGAGUGCUGAGAACCAACUAGCCGAUAUCUUCAUCAUACCCCUAAAUGAGACUAGGUUUGUUUUCUCAGAAGUGAACUAAAUAUCUUGGACUCUCGUAACAUGUCUUGGAAAGUGUGUGCUUAAAAUUUGGAUGUUUCAUGUGCUGUAAAACUUUUUAAAAUGACUAAUUUCUAUAUAUUUAUACAAAUUUUUUUGUUAAGUUAGGCAAAAUAGAUGCCAUAAUGAAGAUCGCCAAAGGGUUUCUCUGAUAAUUUUCGGUUGAUAGAGUGAGUUGAAUAGGCCAUUCAACCAAAUUCUUCUCUGGUCAGACUUGGUUCAACCGGGGAAAAACUCGGUUCAACCGACUUUUGACCUGCUUUGCCAGUCAACCCUGCCAUCUGUCAGUUUGGCCUCGCAGACUGCUCUUCUAGAAAGUCGGUUCAACCGAGAUUAAACCCAAUUCAACUUAGUUUGCGCAGAGAGUCGACCGGGUUUAUUUCUUUUUUUCUCUUCUCUCUCUCUUCUCAUUCCUUAGUCGAGUUAUUUGAAAAGGAGACGCCGCCCCUUCUCUAUCCCCCUCUCAAACCCUCCCCUCAACCAAAAUAUUGAGCCAAAUCCAUUGAAACUUGGAGGACUUCAUCAUGUUGAGGUCCUCCACCUAUUCCCUCCAUUGAUUUGAAGUUUCGCGAGUGGAAUCGAUAGAUCGAGGUAAAGCUCUCUUCUCUAUCUUUUGCCCUGAUCUUUGGUUAUAGCUAAGGUCUUGUGAAUCCCUUUGAGUAAAAGGAUCUUGUGGAUGUAAGAAACAUAUUGCUCUAAGGGAUUUCUCUAAUUUAUUGACGUACUCGACGAAAAAGGGUAAUGAAUCGUUCAUGUGAGGUUGACCCGAAUAGUUGAACGGCAUAUAUUCCGUUCACUCUCUCUUCCUAUCAUUUGUUGAAUCACCAUUUGGUUAUUCUUUUUAUCUUAUACCUGUGUUUUUAGUUCAAGAAUGAAGAACUAGCCGGCGAUAAAUAUUUAAAAAAUAUUUGAAAACAGAGGUAAUAGUUUACAAUACAGUUUGAAACGGACAAAAAAAUUACAUGCACAGCCAGUAUUGAGACAUCUUCUACUCUCCUGUGCUUGCAAGUCGACGUGAUAAUUGGCGGUGCUUUAUUAAUUUGCUUAGGAGAUAAGGUCAUCCUCCUUGUGCGUCUCGAUGACGACGUCGGAGGUGGGGUACGCCACGCAGGUGAGCACCCAGCCGGCGGCGAUCUGGCCGUCGUCGAGGUAGCUCUGGUCGGACUGGUCCACGGAGCCGGAGACGACCUUGCCGGCGCAGGAGGAGCAGGACCCCGCGCGGCAGGAGUAGGGCAGGUCGAUGCCUUCCUCCUCGGCGUAGUCCAGGAUGUAGACGUCGUCGGGCACCUGCAGCUCCACCUCCCCCUCCGGCGUGAUGAGCUUCACGUUGUAGGUGGCCUGCGCGCGCAGCCUGCUGCUGGCGCCACCGCCACGGGUCAUGGCCACGGUAGUGGGCGCUGGCGCGGCGCGGAGGGAGAAGGAGAAGGCCGGCGCGCGGGGGCUGCUCAGGACGGUGGCCAUUUGUUUGCUAGCUGCGGGUAAUGGCUGGAGUGAGCGGCUGCUAGUGCUGGUCUGGUGGACAGAUAGCUUCCCUGCCCCAGAUAUGCGAAUGAGAUGAUGGAUGGAGUGAGUGCAGCCAGCGUGUAGGCUCUUAUCUUCUUGGCGCCAGAAUUUAUUUCGUCCACCCAUUCAAAAGACGCCGUUCGGCUGGCUUGCUUACAGUGGAUGCCCACAUAGCAUUCCAAUUUAUUUUGGAAAUCGGACUCCGACGCUCGCUAUAUGGUUGGAUCUUUGUUGCGACGGGACUUUUCUUUGAAUAUACUGUACCUGUUAUUUUUUAUUUGUCGUGGUUUAGUGCAAAAAUAAAUUAGUCAUCAACAAAUAUUUGAGAAUAAAGAUAGUAGAUAAUAAUAAAUACGUAAAAAGUUAGUUCGUC
rnacentral:lncRNA from 1 species